AACGCGAAGAACCUUACCUACUCUUGACAUCCAGAGAAUUUGCUAGAGAUAGCUUAGUGCCUUCGGGAACUCUGAGACAGGUGCUGCAUGGCUGUCGUCAGCUCGUGUUGUGAAAUGUUGGGUUAAGUCCCGCAACGAGCGCAACCCUUAUCCUUUGUUGCCAGCACGUAAUGGUGGGAACUCAAAGGAGACUGCCGGUGAUAAACCGGAGGAAGGUGGGGAUGACGUCAAGUCAUCAUGGCCCUUACGAGUAGGGCUACACACGUGCUACAAUGGCAUAUACAAAGAGAAGCGAACUCGCGAGAGCAAGCGGACCUCAUAAAGUAUGUCGUAGUCCGGAUUGGAGUCUGCAACUCGACUCCAUGAAGUCGGAAUCGCUAGUAAUCGUAGAUCAGAAUGCUACGGUGAAUACGUUCCCGGGCCUUGUACACACCG
rnacentral:rRNA from 1 species